AAUGUCAUGUGGCACUGGAUCUGGAAGAUACAGUUGGCUUGUGAGUCCAGGGACUUUUAGACAGGAACAUCAGGAACCACCUAUUCAGAUGACGGCCAGCAGUUAGUGAAGAGGAACAAGAGGUCUAACAGCUGACUGGAUGAAGAAUCCUGCUAGGAAAGUGCAUGGGACAUGGAGGAACGAAAUGCCAGGCAUCUUCAGAGAGGCAGAAGCAAAGGGGAAGGAGCUAGAACACGUGGCCGUGAAGAGCAAGCAUGGAUGCUAGGAAGCAAACGUCAGUCCUCAGGAAGAGCAGAGAAUAUUCUUAUCAGCUGAGCCCAGCUUAUCUCCAGCCUCCUCAGGUCUUUCCCUUUUUCUGUUACUGCUUGGUCGCCAUCAAUAAGUUUUCCCAUCAGGACCAGAAGUUAAUAAAAAGGAGUGGUACCCAGAGACAGCCACCAGUGUUUGCAGAGUUGGCACCACAGGGCCCCGACUUCUGCCAUCCCUAGGCUGUGCAGCUGGUGCAAAAGGACCAGAGAGAAAAUACUACUUUAGAAAUGGUGGGAAUGGCUGCUGUGCCUCACGCCGAGCUCCUGAGGACAGCACACGUGGCUCACUGAACACUGUCAGCAGCUUAUUUUCUCUGAUGGUUGUUGGAGCAUCGAUAUCGAGAAAAUGACUUCCUUAGUGGAGAGAUGUUGGAGAAAACUAAACUCAAACUGCAAAGUGGAGGUGGGAUGAAAAGUUCUGAAAUAACAUAAUGGAAGGACAGCAAGAUGGAACCCAGGGUAUGAUCCAGUCCAAUUGUUCACCAACACGGCUUUAUAAUCUUCAACAGAUUGCUACCCUGGGACGGGCUGUGUCACACUAUAGCUACCGAUCACCCUAGUUUUCAUCUCAACCUUCCAGACAACACACACCACAGCCCUGUUGUGUAGGAGAAUAACUUUCACCUCAGAAAAAAUGUCCUACAAAAACCACUGGGAUAUCUUUUCAUC